rnacentral:lncRNA from 1 species
CUGCACUUCGUCACUUGCAUUAUCAUGGCUCAUCUCUUCAUUAGCUAACAUCAGUGUUGGAGUUUCAGCAUGCUCUUCAAAGUGAGGAGUGAGAUUUACAUCAUCCUGCUCUUCAAAGUUAGGAGUAAGAUUUACAUCAGCAUCAGCAUUCUCUACAAAGUUAGGAGUAAUGUUUACAUCAAACAUCUCAGUGUCUUCCGACCAAUUUCCACUAGCUUCCUCAUUACCAACAACCAAACCUAAUUCAUUGUAGUUCUCUAUUCUUUUGUCCCGCAG